CGGGUGUGCCCUCCUUGGGCGUUUCCUCCCUAGACUUCGGGCCGCUCGCGAGGGCGGCCUUUUUCUUUUCUGAGC
rnacentral:sRNA from 21 species